GAUGAACGCUGGCGGCGUGCCUAAUACAUGCAAGUCGAGCGAACAGACGAAGAGCUUGCUCCUCUGACGUUAGCGGCGGACGGGUGAGUAACACGUGGAUAACCUACCUAUAAGACUGGGAUAACUUCGGGAAACCGGAGCUAAUACCGGAUAAUAUAUUGAACCGCAUGGUUCAAUAGUGAAAGACGGUUUUGCUGUCACUUAUAGAUGGAUCCGCGCCGCAUUAGCUAGUUGGUAAGGUAACGGCUUACCAAGGCAACGAUGCGUAGCCGACCUGAGAGGGUGAUCGGCCACACUGGAACUGAGACACGGUCCAGACUCCUACGGGAGGCAGCAGUGGGGAAUCUUCCGCAAUGGGCGAAAGCCUGACGGAGCAACGCCGCGUGAGUGAUGAAGGUCUUCGGAUCGUAAAACUCUGUUAUUAGGGAAGAACAAAUGUGUAAGUAACUAUGCACGUCUUGACGGUACCUAAUCAGAAAGCCACGGCUAACUACGUG
rnacentral:rRNA from 1 species